GUAGACCUGUGGAUUUCUAAUUCCAUCCCCAUCUUUUUUUUGACCUGUACUAACAGCACCAUAUGUUAUACAAGUUCAACUUCUUACCGUGGCCAGCACUGGUCUGAUUUCUUCUGCAGGCUCAUUUUAUGCUCAUUAUUUUACCAUGAGCUCUCUGCUCCAGGCUUCUGAACUUCCAUUAUUUCUCCAGAUCUAAUGCUGGGCCUUCAUACAUGGCUAUGAACAGGGUUUCCCUUAGGAAGAGAAGCCCACCAGAAUCACGGAAAGCAGAAUCUUCCAACGUAUUUGGAGAAGAAGAUCCAAGCAGAGGAAGGGGUGGGCUGUGGCAUAUAUGUAUGAUGGUGCAUUGGAUUGCUAACACAACUGUGGUCUUGGGGUCAGGCUCCUUCUGUGUACCCAUGGCAUCUGAGUUAUUACAUAUGGGGUAACUUUGCUUCUAAAAAUGGAACAGCUGGCAUUUUCUUUUCCAGUUGGUCAUUGGAAGCUCCUCUCUGUGGGGAUUAUAUUUGUGGCAGAUGCCUUCUUCUCAAGGUGUACAGGCAGGACCUGGGACUCUUCCUACCUGCUGUGACAGCUGAGCUCCUCUUUAGCUGAUGGCAUGCUGAGGCCUGUGCACUGCGCUGAAUACUGCUGGCUUUAUGCCUAGUGCAUAGCUGGCCCUAAGGUCAUUGGUCACUUUUCCCUCUCAGAGAGGGUCACAGGCACUUCGGGCACCUCAAUGCCAUACUUGUCCUCGCUCUGCCAGGGUUCUGACCAGUGGAGACAUGUCUAAUGAUCACUAUCCCGUGGGAAGUAAGAAAGGGCUCCAUUUAUCUCUGCAAAUCCUCUGUCUCCCAGAGCAGGCCCAUCUGGGAAAGGACUGUGCCCUGAAUCUAACGAUGAAACUGUUCACCAGCCCAGAUGCAUGGACCCAACUCUAGGUCUGCUGCACAGACCCAGAACCACCCCAGAUUUUGCUCAGGAUGACUCACCAUAUGGGAAUAAGAAGAGCAGGAAAUUUUACUUCAUGGCUUGAGUGAAAUAAAAGAGGAAGCAGCCACCCUUAUUCAUGCUUUUAAGACAUAGUUAUCUUGUUCACCGUUAAAAUGUAUCUCAAUGAAUGACUUGCUCAGGUGGAUUGGAUUAACCACUUGGUAAGGUGCAAGCAAGGUGACACUGU
rnacentral:lncRNA from 10 species